AUCGUAAACUUUAAAUUACAUCAAACUCGCCUGGGAACUACGAGCCAAGCUUAAAACCCAAAGGACUUGACGGUACCCUAUAUCCACCUAGAGGAGCCUGUCCUAUAAUCGAUAAUCCACGUUUAACCUCACCAUUUUUAGCUUAUUCAGUCAGUAUACUUCCGUCGUCAGCCUACCACAUGAGCGUUAGUGGGCUCAAUGUUUAUUCAACAAUACGUCAGGUCAAGGUGCAGCUAAUAAAAUGGAAAGAGAUGGGCUACAUUUUCUAAUCUAGAGCAUACGAAAGACUACUAAUGAAAGCUAGUCGGAAGGCGGAUUUAGUAGUAAAUAGGAACCAAAAAGUCCUCUUUAAUUUGGCCCUGGGGUGUGUACACACCGCCCGUCACCCUCCUCUUAUGCCAAAAAUAGUUAUUAACCAAACUUAGCUUAUCAGAUGAGGUAAGUCGUAACACGGUAAG
rnacentral:rRNA from 1 species